GUCACUUUGGCGGAGUGGUUAACGCGCAGCCCUGCUAUUACUUAAUACUAGGCUGUGUCUUCGGACGCGCAGGUUCGAAUCCUGCAGGUGACG
rfam:Neurospora tetrasperma FGSC 2509 unplaced genomic scaffold NETTE2scaffold_2, whole genome shotgun sequence.